rnacentral:miRNA from 1 species
CACAUUAAUCUCGACCAUUGGAUG